rnacentral:lncRNA from 1 species
UCCCCUGAGGCUGAUCAAUCACACAAAGCUGGUUGAAGUUUCUGAGUUUGUGUGACCAUAGGGGGAUGAGGAGAGGAGGUUGAGGGAGCUGGCAAGCCCCAAAGGUCACAUAGGCCUGAGCCUCACAAAACGUCAGGAAAUGAAGCUGAGCCACAGAACCAACACAGAGGGACGGACGGCCUGGGGCUAUUGAGGAAAAAUAGGGAGUAGCUGGCUGAAGCCCAGAUCCUGGCCUCUCUGCAUAGCCCUAGGCUUUGGCCUUUUCCUGUCUGAGCACUUUUGGCUGACCUGCCUCCAAGCUGGACCACCACUGGCCAGCUCUCAUGAGCUCCAGGAGUUGUAUGCUGUGACUAUCCAGGAGCAAGCCUGCUCCGCGGUGGAGACGUUCAGACCCAGAAAAGCUCUGGGGAGAAUUAGUAGCAAUACUGUGAGGACACAUUCUGAGGUUGUAUCCUCAGCCUGGGAAGCAGGGCUGAGGGGACAGCUGUAGAUGAGCAGUCAGCAUUGCAGCUUCAUCAGCUAAAAGUGAUUUCACACAAAAUAAUGUGUCAGAGAUAAUUGCUCCUGGGAACAGAUCCCAAUUCCAGCCCGCAAUCAAAGAGCAGGUCAUGGCUGCCACUGGGUUUGCACCCACCUGAGGUCAGGAUGAAGGUUCCGGAAGCAGAGAGACAGGUCCUGCUGCUACAAUCCUCCCCUGCACUAAAGGGCUUCCUCAAGAAAGGUCUCUGAGUGCAGAAAGGGCUUGAGACAUAAGGAAACCUGUACCUGGUAACAGAAAACAAAUGUGAGAGCUGGGUGUGGUGCACACCUGUAAUCCCAGUACUGGAGCGGCAGAAACAGCAGGAGAAUCCAAAGCUCAAGGGCACCCAUCCAUCACUGCCCACAUAAGGAUAUGGCCAGGAUAGGUUACCGAGAGGGAAGAGAAACAAGGCAGGGAAGGGAGGAGGAAAUUCGGGGGUGGGUGGCUUAAAUGGUAGGAGGAUGUCCCCCACUAUAAUCAAGAGUGUGAAGGCAGAAAGGUCUGGGCUUCUGCAGCAGCAAUUCUGAUAUUUGACAGGUGUACAUUUGUACCCCAGGCUGGCCUGGAACUCCCUAAGUGGCUGAGGGUGACCUUGAACUUCUGAUCCUACUGCCUUCAUCUUCCCAGUGCUGGGAUUAAAGUUGUGUUCCCCAUGCUAGGUGGUGCUGCGCUGGGGACCAAGCACAGCGUUGUAUCCUGGGCAAGUGUCCUAACAAGAGCCCUCAGAGUUCAGAAGAGGCAGGGAUCCUCCUAGAACUGGAGUUACGGAGGGUUGUGAGCCACCUGUGGGUCCUAAGGGACAGAGCCUGGGUCCUCCAGAAUCUCUGUGUAGCCUCGGUUGUCCUGGAACUCCAUCUGUAGACCAGGCUGGCAGUGAACCCACAGCAAUCUGCGUGUCUCUGUCUCCCAAGUGCUGGGAUUAAAAGUGUGUGCCACCACUGCCUGGCUCUUUUGUUUUGUUUUGUUUCUGAGGCAGGGUCUCUCUUUGUAGCCCUGCCUGGCCUGGAACAACCCGGACUGGCCUUG